GACGAACGCUGGCGGCGUGCUUAACACAUGCAAGUCGAACGGAAAGGCCCUGCUUUUGUGGGGUGCUCGAGUGGCGAACGGGUGAGUAACACGUGAGUAACCUGCCCUUGACUUUGGGAUAACUUCAGGAAACUGGGGCUAAUACCGGAUAGGAGCUCCUGCUGCAUGGUGGGGGUUGGAAAGUUUCGGCGGUUGGGGAUGGACUCGCGGCUUAUCAGCUUGUUGGUGGGGGAGUGGCUUACCAAGGCUUUGACGGGUAGCCGGCCUGAGAGGGUGACCGGCCACAUUGGGACUGAGAUACGGCCCAGACUCCUACGUGAGGCAGCAGGGGGGAAUAUUGCACAAUGGGCGGAAGCCUGAUGCAGCAACGCCGCGUGCGGGAUGACGGCCUUCGGGUUGCAAACCGCUUUCGCCUGUGACGAAGCGUGAGUGACGGUAAUGGGUAAAGAAGCACCGGCUAACUACGUG
rnacentral:rRNA from 1 species